rnacentral:tRNA from 1 species
GGCAGUGUAGCCUAAUGGAAAAAGGGACUAGCAUUCAGAGGACCUGGGUUCUAGUCCCAGCUCUGCCA